GACUAACCAAGUCUCAGGGCCAAGCACAGUACUAAACCAUAAACAUAACUCCACUUAACUUUACAUUACAUUCUCUUACAAAUCAUUAUAUCAAUUUGUAAUACAUGUCCACACUAAGAGUACUAAUCUAAAACUAUUACAUAAGCAAAACCUUGACUCUUGAGACUUCCCGAUCUUCCUCAAACCUGCAACACUGGGGUUAGGGGAGAGGGGUGAGCUAAAAAGCCCAAUGAGUAGAAACAAAGAAAACAGUUCAUUAAUUACAUGCUUUCAUUAAAUGCGUCACAGCACAAACAAAUCACAUCACGAAUUGGACCUAACCCCAAAACAUCCCUUCCAGUCUCAGUAUGUCCGGCCCGGCCGGGUCUCACAACCUUCGUAUGCCUGGCCCGGCCAGGUCUUACAACAACUGUAUAUGUAUGCCUGGCCCGGCCAGGUCUCACAAUAUCUCUAGGGCUAGUGGGGUCAUCCUUGGUCCAAUCUCCAUCAACAGUAAAUAAUGCAAUGCUUCAUAUGCGUGUAACUAGUGCAAUCAACCUAUUACAUAUAAACAUGAUGCAUGAGCAUGCUUUAGGCAUUUGAUUUCAUAAAAUAAAAGAUUAAGUUUAGUUCUACUCACCUCUGGCAGACGCUGGACUGACUCUGCAACUGCUAACACUGAUGGCCUCCUCGAUCCCUCAGGUCCGAUCCUACACAGGUGGACUCGAAUGAGGUGCCAACACACUCUAAACAACUCAUAAACAAUUCCCCAAAAACCCUCUAAAACAUCACUUAAACAAUCAUAGAACUCAUGCAAAGGAGGGCUGAACAGGGCACUUUCGGCGGCACCUUCGGCGGCCGAAUCCUCUCUCCAGAGACGAAAGUCAAGCACUUUCGGCGGCCGAAUCCUUCCUUCGGCGGCCG
rnacentral:lncRNA from 1 species